CCGGCUCAAACUCAGGAGUGCCCGGGAAGAAUGUAGGUCGUGAGAAGGUCGGAGCGCAACUUUUCGAAGCUGUCUACCACCACUGCUGCGCUUGUGGAUGACUGCAGGAACACCGGGUACUUGCCACAAGUAUCUCUCCAGAUUCAUCAGCCUUUCACCUGUGACAAGCUCAGUCAAGAAGUGGCUCCUAAGUAAAAGCUGGGGAAGAACAAGGAAGAUAGAGCUCAGAGUAGAAAGCUGUGAAGUUCUGCACAACAGGUCCCCUUGGCCUGCUCUAACAGUUGGAAGGUGGGGGAAGCAUUCAUUUACUCAACAAAUAUAUACUGAGUGCCUUUUGCAUGCUAGGCACGCUUCUAGGGGUUGAGGACACAGCAGAGAGCACAAACAACAAUUCCAGCCCUCGUGGAGCUUACCUCUUCCACGUGGGAAAGACAGAUGGUAAAUGUAUAAGGACAAUAUAUGGACUGCUGUAUGAUUAGAAAUGCUAUGGAGAGGCUAGGAGUGCUGUCUCAUGCCUGUAAUCCCGCAGUUUGGGAGGCCAAAGGAGGAGGAUCACUUGAGGCCAGAAGUUGGAGACCCAACCUGGGCAACAUAACAGGCAUGGUAGCUCAUGUGGAAGCUUCCCGAGGCCCUCACCCAGAAGCAGAUGCUGGAGCCAUGCUUGUACAGCUUGCAGAACUAAAGCCCAGCUGGCUUGGUUCCAUGAAUCUUUGCCCUUCUUUCCAUCCACUUCUUCCUGCUUGGACAUUGGUUACCUGGAGAAGCAGAAGCCAUUUUAAGAUGAUGAAAGCAAAAGUUAAAUGUAUGAGAUGAUGGUGCAGAAAGCCAAAAGGGGCCUCCAGAACACUGAGCUUUGUGGAGUCGUGUACCAUAGCUGUAUUGCCGACCUCUGAACUUCCUGCUGAGAUAAAAAACAAUCCUUAUGUGUUUAUACUACUUUUAUUUCAGUUUCUUUUAAGUAUAGCAAACACAUUCCAAAUAAUAUGCAUCUGAAGUUUUUGGUUUUGUUUUUAAAUUUUUUUUUUAGGGAUGGGUUCUGGCUGCGUAGUGGCUAGAGUGUAGUGGCUA
rnacentral:lncRNA from 1 species